GGGUUGUGCUCAGAGUAUGGAGCCUGAAGCAAUGGCUCCUGCUUACACCAGACCCAACAGGAAUCUGGGUUAUUGUGACAAGGGGCACAAAACUCAUGGCCUUCCUCUGAGCAAGUACCCUACACGU
ensembl:snoRNA